UACGUAGGGUGCAAGCGUUUAUCCGGAAUUAUUGGGCGUAAAGAGCUCGUAGGCGGUUUGUCACGUCUGCUGUGAAAACUGGAGGCUCAACCUCCAGCCUGCAGUGGGUACGGGCAGACUAGAGUGCGGUAGGGGAGAUUGGAAUUCCUGGUGUAGCGGUGGAAUGCGCAGAUAUCAGGAGGAACACCGAUGGCGAAGGCAGAUCUCUGGGCCGUAACUGACGCUGAGGAGCGAAAGCAUGGGGGAGCGAACAGG
rnacentral:rRNA from 1 species